rnacentral:rRNA from 1 species
GACGAACGCUGGCGGCGUGCUUAACACAUGCAAGUCGAACGGAAAGGCCCUGCUUUUGUGGGGUGCUCGAGUGGCGAACGGGUGAGUAACACGUGAGUAACCUGCCCUUGACUUUGGGAUAACUUCAGGAAACUGGGGCUAAUACCGGAUAGGAGCUCCUGCUGCAUGGUGGGGGUUGGAAAGUUUCGGCGGUUGGGGAUGGACUCGCGGCUUAUCAGCUUGUUGGUGGGGUAGUGGCUUACCAAGGCUUUGACGGGUAGCCGGCCUGAGAGGGUGACCGGCCACAUUGGGACUGAGAUACGGCCCAGACUCCUACGGGAGGCAGCAGUGGGGAAUAUUGCACAAUGGGCGGAAGCCUGAUGCAGCAACGCCGCGUGCGGGAUGACGGCCUUCGGGUUGUAAGCCGCUUUCGCCUGUGACGAAGCGUGAGUAACGGUAAUGGGUAAAGAAGCACCGGCUAACUACGUGCCAGCAGCCGCGGUGAUACGUAGGGUGCGAGCGUUGUCCGGAUUUAUUGGGCGUAAAGGGCUCGUAGGUGGUUGAUCGCGUCGGAAGUGUAAUCUUGGGGCUUAACCCUGAGCGUGCUUUCGAUACGGGUUGACUUGAGGAAGGUAGGGGAGAAUGGAAUUCCUGGUGGAGCGGUGGAAUGCGCAGAUAUCAGGAGGAACACCAGUGGCGAAGGCGGUUCUCUGGGCCUUUCCUGACGCUGAGGAGCGAAAGCGUGGGGAGCGAACAGGCUUAGAUACCCUGGUAGUCCACGCUGUAAACGGUGGGUACUAGGUGUGGGGUCCAUUCCACGGGUUCCGUGCCGUAGCUAACGCUUUAAGUACCCCGCCUGGGGAGUACGGCCGCAAGGCUAAAACUCAAAGGAAUUGACGGGGCCCCGCACAAGCGGCGGAGCAUGCGGAUUAAUUCGAUGCAACGCGUAGAACCUUACCUGGGUUUGACAUGGAUCGGGAGUGCUCAGAGAUGGGUGUGCCUCUUUUGGGGUCGGUUCACAGGUGGUGCAUGGCUGUCGUCAGCUCGUGUCGUGAGAUGUUGGGUUAAGUCCCGCAACGAGCGCAACCCUUGUUCACUGUUGCCAGCACGUUAUGGUGGGGACUCAGUGGAGACCGCCGGGGUCAACUCGGAGGAAGGUGGGGAUGACGUCAAGUCAUCAUGCCCCUUAUGUCCAGGGCUUCACGCAUGCUACAAUGGCUGGUACAGAGAGUGGCGAGCCUGUGAGGGUGAGCGAAUCUCGGAAAGCCGGUCUCAGUUCGGAUUGGGGUCUGCAACUCGACCUCAUGAAGUCGGAGUCGCUAGUAAUCGCAGAUCAGCAACGCUGCGGUGAAUACGUUCCCGGGGCU